rnacentral:lncRNA from 1 species
AACCGAAAAACCGAAAAACCGAACCGAAAAACCGAAAAACCGAGCCGUUUUAAACCGUACCGAAUAGCAAACCGCAUGUACGGUUUUUUAUUUUUGAAAUACCGAAUUAUUCGGUUCGGUAUGGUGGAAAGGUAAAUAACCGAACCGAAAAACCGAACCGAACCGAAACUAUAAAAUGACUUCAUUUUAUAUAAUAUAUGUAUUAUUUUACCCUAAUAUUUAUUUUCUAUCUUUCAAUUAUUUGUCUCAUUCUAAGCAUUUGUUCAUAAAUUGAGACAUUGUAUUUUAUUUAUUUAGUAAUUAAAAAUUUACUUGAGUUCAUGGUUUUA